rnacentral:rRNA from 1 species
CAGAAGCGAAAGCUAGUUCUGUUGCGGUUAAAAAGCUCGUAGUUGGAUUUCUGCCUUUCUGGUAAGCGAGCUUCGACUCGGUGGAAUGCCGAAUCGGGGUCUUUCUUGCCUGGGCAUCCGAGUCCUUGUGCUUGCACAGUGGACUCCAGUUACUUUGAGGAAAUUAGAGUGUUCAAAGCAAACAAGCGUACGUGAAUACCACAGCAUGGAAUAACAACAUACGGCUUCUAGGCCCUGUUGUUGGUUUCUAACCUGGAAGCAAUGAUUGAUAAGGACGGUUUGGGGGUGCUCGUAUUUGGGGGCCAGAGGUGAAAUUCAGUGAUUCUCCAAAGACGAACUACUGCGAAAGCAUUCACCAGGGACGUCCCUUUUAA